rnacentral:tRNA from 2 species
AGUUAAUUAGCUUAAAUUAAGCAUUUGUUUUGAAAACAAAAGUUAGAACUAAUUAUUCUAUUAACUU